GAUGAACGCUGGCGGCGUGCCUAAUACAUGCAAGUCGAGCGAACAGACGAGGAGCUUGCUCCUCUGACGUUAGCGGCGGACGGGUGAGUAACACGUGGAUAACCUACCUAUAAGACUGGGAUAACUUCGGGAAACCGGAGCUAAUUCCGGAUAAUAUAUUGAACCGCAUGGUUCAAUAGUGAAAGACGGUUUUGCUGUCACUUAUAGAUGGAUCCGCGCCGCAUUAGCUAGUUGGUAAGGUAACGGCUUACCAAGGCAACGAUGCGUAGCCGACCUGAGAGGGUGAUCGGCCACACUGGAACUGAGACACGGUCCAGACUCCUACGGGAGGCAGCAGUAGGGAAUCUUCCGCAAUGGGCGAAAGCUUGACGGAGCAACGCCGCGUGAGUGAUGAAGGUCUUCGGAUCGUAAAACUCUGUUAUUAGGGAAGAACAAAUGUGUAAGUAACUAUGCACGUCUUGACGGUACCUAAUCAGAAAGCCACGGCUAACUACGUG
rnacentral:rRNA from 1 species